AAUCCAUAUCGGAAUAUGGAUUAAGGAGAAAGAAACAGAAGCUCAAGAAGUGUUGUGUUUUAAAGAAGAGAAGUGUUGUGUUUUAAAGAACCAGCCGGUGUUGUGUUUUAAAGAGGAGAGGAAGCUAUGAGCAAUUAACACAAAAGAUGAACUCAUUGAACACAACCAACGCUUUAGAGUGGACAUUUAUCUAACAAAAAGCUUUACUCAUUUCCACAACCAACACAUUAAUCACACUUAACAUCGACUUAUAUCUAACCAUAUUUAUAACCACACAGAAGCAUUAUCAAUUUCUAGCUAACGAUCACAUCCUCAGAAGCAUUUAUUACCAAAUCUCAACCAUAUUCAAACACAAGCAGUACAAUUCAUUACAGACAGGAAACAAAAUCAAAGAGACAAAAUGUACCUGUAUUGCAAUUGUCUCUUGAUCCACACUCUUGAUCAGUCCUCAUGUCUAUUGAUCCAUGCUCUUGAUCAGUCAAUGUUAACACACAAAC
rnacentral:lncRNA from 1 species